rnacentral:rRNA from 1 species
GACGAGCGCUGGCGGCGUGCUUAACACAUGCAAGUCGAACGGAAAGGCCCUGCUUGCAGAGUACUCGAGUGGCGAACGGGUGAGUAACACGUGGGUGAUCUGCCCUGCACUUCGGGAUAAGCUUGGGAAACUGGGUCUAAUACCGGAUAGGACCGCACUUUAGUGUGUGUGGUGGAAAGUUUUUUCGGUGUAGGAUGAGCUCGCGGCCUAUCAGCUUGUUGGUGGGGUAAUGGCCUACCAAGGCGGCGACGGGUAGCCGGCCUGAGAGGGUGUACGGCCACAUUGGGACUGAGAUACGGCCCAGACUCCUACGGGAGGCAGCAGUGGGGAAUAUUGCACAAUGGGCGCAAGCCUGAUGCAGCGACGCCGCGUGGGGGAUGAAGGCCUUCGGGUUGUAAACUCCUUUCGCUAGGGACGAAGCUUUUUGUGACGGUACCUAGAGAAGAAGCACCGGCUAACUACGUG